UUAAAAAUAAGAUAAUAAAUGCUUAAAGCCUAAAACGCUUAAGCGUUUCAAUGACUUUCAGCCAGCCUGGCUAAUGGCCUGCCUAAGUGCCCGCCUAACUGUGGCCAUUUUCAUGAAUUUCAUAUCAAUUUCCGUCAUUAUGUCAUAAAAUCAAACGCAGAGAAGCGCAUUUGGCCGAGAAGAGUCACGAGUUAAAAAUCGUCAAACACAAAAGCAACCAAACCAAGAACCGCUCAGCCACCCAUACAGUCGUUGACGUCGACCUCGUUUGAUACGAUCGAUUGUGGACAUUUCAAUAAUCGUUUUAAUCAUUUCCGUUUAGAGUUGAUAGCCUCUUUUUAUGUGCCUCAUUUACGAUUGACAGCCAAAGAAUUAUGUAAUCAAAAUUAAGUUCAAGCACGAAGAAGCACAAAAACAAUGGGAAAAUAUUAAAAAACCUUAAAACUACCCAAGACAGAACAACUCAAUUCCACCUCAAAAGCGAACUGAGCUCAUCAGCAACUGCACACUGUACCACAUGAAUUAUGCAUUUCGAGCACAAUGAAGAUUUGUGCGAUGCAAGCAAUGAAACGGGAACAAAAUAUUUACCAAAUUGAUUAUGUUGCCAUGCGCGUCUGCACACAACGAAGGCGAAGAAGAAGAGGCAGAAAAUUGCAAAAAAAAACAACGCAUUUCAAGUCAAUUUACUCAUUGUCCAAACGUCUUUAUGACACCAAUAAUUGGAAACGUGUGCUCAUCGUUUGUCGGCGUCGUCAUUGUGGCUGCAAUCUUCGACAGAUUUUCCACGCCAACACAACUCCCCCUUUUUCCUAGCGAAACAUGCGAAGGCAUUUGACGCUGUCAGCGCGAAGACGUGCAACACGGCCUCCCAGCUUCGUCGUCCUACUUUCAUACGGCAAUGCAUGUGUCAAAUUCCUCACAAAUUCGGUAUUAACGGCACGUGUGGCCCGGUAGAGCUGACGCUGAUUGCCGUGUCGAUUUUUAGUUUUCGACAAGCAAAUGUUCGUAGUUGGCCAGAGGCUACAUAUGUAUGUAUGUAUGUAUGUGCUGCAGGAGGUAGUGUGUGUGUGCUUAUAACUGCAACGGUGGCAGUCCACAAUCGGAGAAAUGCACGUGCUUGGCAUAUAUAAGAGCUGCUGCACAUAAACAUUUACACAUAUAUAUGUACAUAACAUAAGUACUAAAAUGUGGUUGACACUAAUAGAAGUUCAAAGCAAAAAUGAUUGCAUACUGUUGGGCGUAUAAGCUGGAGAAUGUCAAAAAUCGAUGCAAAUGACAUAUUUCAUUGGCUUAAUCCAAGGUAUGCGUGUAUGUAACUAUACAAGUUUACGUCUGUAAAUUAGGGUGAUCCCAUUUCUUCUUUUCCGAAAAAAAAAUAUCUGCAAAAAUAUUGGAAAGUGU